UCCCCGGUGGCGCAAUUGGCUAGCGCGUCUGACUGUUAAAAAACUGUUAUCAGGAGGUUGAAAGUUCGAGCCUUUCCCGAGGAG